rnacentral:rRNA from 1 species
GAUUUCUGGUGUGGUGCAGCCGGCCCGCCACGGUGACGUGUGUGAGUGCCGGCUUGGCCAAGCCAUCCUUCUAGCGACACUGGUGCUACUCUUCACUGAGCCGGUACCAGCGCACUAGAUCGUUUACUUUGAAAAAAUUAGAGUGUUUAAAGCAGGCGUUGCAGGCUAUGAAUACAUUAGCAUGGAAUAAUAAUUUAGGACUUCGGUUCUAUUUUGUUGGUUUCUAGGACUGAAGUAAUGAUUGAUAGGGACAGUUGGGGGUGCUAGUAUUCCGCGGCCAGAGGUGAAAUUCUUGGAUUCGCGGAAGACUAACUACUGCGAAAGCAUU